GACGAACGCUGGCGGCGUGCUUAGCACAUGCAAGUCGAACGGAAAGGCCCUGCUUUUGUGGGGUGCUCGAGUGGCGAAAGGGUGAGUAACACGUGAGUAACCUGCCCUUGACUUUGGGAUAACUUCAGGAAACUGGGGCUAAUACCGGAUAGGAGCUCCUGCUGCAUGGUGGGGGUUGGAAAGUUUCGGCGGUUGGGGAUGGACUCGCGGCUUAUCAGCUUGUUGGUGGGGUAGUGGCUUACCAAGGCUUUGACGGGUAGCCGGCCUGAGAGGGUGACCGGCCACAUUGGGACUGAGAUACGGCCCAGACUCCUACGGGAGGCAGCAGUGGGGAAUAUUGCACAAUGGGCGGAAGCCUGAUGCAGCAACGCCGCGUGCGGGAUGACGGCCUUCGGGUUGUAAACCGCUUUCGCCUGUGACGAAGCGUGAGUGACGGUAAUGGGUAAAGAAGCACCGGCUAACUACGUG
rnacentral:rRNA from 1 species